UACAGAGGGUGCAAGCGUUAAUCGGAAUUACUGGGCGUAAAGCGCGCGUAGGUGGUUCAGUAAGAUGGGUGUGAAAUCCCCGGGCUCAACCUGGGAACUGCUUUCAUAACUGCUGAACUAGAGUACGGUAGAGGGUAGUGGAAUUUCCUGUGUAGCGGUGAAAUGCGUAGAUAUAGGAAGGAACACCAGUGGCGAAGGCGACUACCUGGACUGAUACUGACACUGAGGUGCGAAAGCGUGGGGAGCAAACAGG
rnacentral:rRNA from 1 species